CCUACGGGGGGCUGCAGUGGGGAGUAUUGGACAAUGGGGGCAACCCUGAUCCAGCCAUGCCGCGUGUGUGAAGAAGGCCCUCGGGUUGUAAAGCACUUUCAGUGAGGAAGAACGCCUGGUGGUUAAUACCCAUCAGGAAAGACAUCACUCACAGAAGAAGCACCGGCUAACUCCGUGCCAGCAGCCGCGGUAAUACGGAGGGUGCGAGCGUUAAUCGGAAUUACUGGGCGUAAAGCGCGCGUAGGUGGCUUGAUAAGCCGGUUGUGAAAGCCCCGGGCUCAACCUGGGAACGGCAUCCGGAACUGUCAAGCUAGAGUGCAGGAGAGGAAGGUAGAAUUCCCGGUGUAGCGGUGAAAUGCGUAGAGAUCGGGAGGAAUACCAGUGGCGAAGGCGGCCUUCUGGACUGACACUGACACUGAGGUGCGAAAGCGUGGGUAGCAAACAGGAUUAGAUACCCCAGUAGUC
rnacentral:rRNA from 1 species